rnacentral:rRNA from 1 species
AAUGAACGUUGGCGGCGUGGAUUAGGCAUGCAAGUCGUACGGGCCGCAAGGCCAGUGGCGCAAGGGUGAGUAAGGCGACGGUAACCAACCCCGCGAUUGGGUAUAGCCGCGGGAAACCGCGGGUAAUCCCCAGCGAUGUCCUGGGCAGGCCUCUGUCUGGGACCAAAGCUCCGGCGUCGUGGGACGGGCCGUCGUGGUAUUAGGUUGUUGGCGGGGUAACGGCCCACCAAGCCUCUGAUGCCUACCGGGCGUGCGAGCGUGGCCCGGCACACUGGGACUGAGCCACUGCCCAGACUCCUACGGGAGGCUGCAGUCGAGAAUCGUCGGCAAUGGGCGCAAGCCUGACCGAGCGACGCCGCGUGGAGGACGAAGGCCUUCGGGUUGUAAACUCCUGUCGAGGGGGAAGAAGUCCGUCUUUGGCGGAUUGACUGAUCCCUGGAGGAAGCACGGGCUAAGUUCGUGCCAGCAGCCGCCGUAAGAC